GACAGAGGGUGCAAACGUUGUUCGGAAUCACUGGGCGUAAAGCGCGUGUAGGCGGCUGCGCAAGUCGGGCGUGAAAUCCCGUGGCUCAACCACGGAAGUGCACCCGAAACUGCGUAGCUGGAGUCUCGGAGAGGAAGGUGGAAUGCUUGGUGUAGAGGUGAAAUUCGUAGAUAUCAAGCGGAACACCAGUGGCGAAGGUGACCUUCUGGACGAUGACUGACGCUGAGACGCGAAAGCGUGGGGAGCAAACAGG
rnacentral:rRNA from 1 species